GGGUCCCGAAUUUGGGGCUGGGGGUCCCAAAUUUGGGUCUGGGGGUCCCAAACCAGCCAAAAACCCCAAAUUUGAGUCUGGGGGUGCCAAGUUUGGGUCUGAAAAUCCCAAAUCUGGGUCUGGGGGUGCCAAAUUUGAGUCUGGGGGUCUCGAGUUUCACUCUGGGGGUCCCAAAUGUGGCUCCAGGCACCCCAGACCCCCCCAAUUUGAGUCUGGGGGUUCCAAAUUUGAGUCUGGGGGUCCCAAACCCCCGGAAUUUGAGUCUGGGGUCCCCCGGAGCCGCGAAUUUGAGUCUGGGGGUCCCAAACUCCCCCAAUCUGAGUCUGGGGGUCCCAAACCCCGGGAAUUUGAGUCUGGGGGUCCCCGCGGGCGGGAAUUUGAGUCUGGGGGUCCCAAAUUUGAGUCUGGGGGUCCCAAACCCCCCCAAUCUGAGUCUGGGGGUCCCCGGAGCCGGGAAUUUGAGUCUGGGGGUCCCAAGAGCCGGGAAUUUGAGUCUGGGGGUCCCAAACCCCCCCAAUUUGAGUCUGGGGUCCCGAGGAGCCGGGAAUUUGAGUCUGGGGGUCCCAAACCCGGUUCUAAGCCCCCCAAACCCCCGCAAUUUGAGUCUGGGGGCCCCCGGAGCCGGGAAUUUGAGUCUGGGGGUCCCAAACCCCCGCAAUUUGAGUCUGGGGGUCCCCGGGGGCGGGAAUUUGAGUCUGGGGGUCCCAAACCCGGUUCUAAGCCCCCCAAACCCCCCCAAUCUGAGUCUGGGGGUCCGAAAUUUGAGUGGCGGGAAUUUGAGUCGGGGGUCGCGGCGCUGUGCCUGCUGUGCCGCGAGGCCGUGAACCGGGCGC
rnacentral:lncRNA from 1 species